CGGGUGAAUCGCCUCUACAGUCUCAACCUGCUGAGGCCUCAAACCCGUGUCUAGCCACGUUUGGGGACAAAGGACCGCAAAAGAACUCUCUUAUUCUUUUAAGGAAGCCGAAUUGGGAUUGAAAGGAAGAGAAACGAGGCCUGGGCUCGGGGGAAUGGGAUAUGGGGAAAGCAGAACCCCGUGUGCCUGUGUGUGCAUCAUUUGGAGGAAAAGCUUUUGAUGAUAAGGAAAGUGAAGCCUGGAGAAGCUAAAUAACUUCCAUGAAGUUCAUCGUGGGUUAGCAAGAAGACGUAACAAGUAGCAAUGAAUCAAGAAUCUUACGGAGCUGUUGAGAAGAGUAGUGAGAGAGCCAGACACAGGAGGCAGCAGAAGUCAGGAAAUAAUAGAAGCCGAGAGAGAGCGAGAGUGAGGGAGAAGAGAGUGAAGUCAGUCAGUUGUGACAAAGGCAACAGAAGCAAGGAGAGAAGAUUUAGGGCCUGAAAUCCUCGUGUCAGAGAAAGCAACAAAACAACUGCAUUGCGGGAGUGCGUGUUGGUGUAUCCUGCUUUUGAAAGAGGCGGUAGGCGUCCAAGGAACAGUUUCCUGUGCUGCUUUACUUCCUGUGUAUCUUCAUAAGACUUUUCUAAAAAUCCUGUUUUUGUUCUCAACUUGGAAGAGCUCAAUUCAUUCAAGGGCUUUGGCUUCAGAUCUGGGUUUAAUACCCAUUCUGCCACUUAAUUAACUGCAACUUUGGUAGGGUAUUUAAGCUGUGUCUUGGUUUUUCCCAUCUAUAAAAUAAGGAUAAAAAUACUUGCUUCACAGGGGUGUUUUAAAGAUCAAAUGACAUAAUGUAUACCAAGUAUUUAUCCCAUUUAAAUAAUAAAUGAUCAUUGUUUAAAAAA
rnacentral:lncRNA from 1 species